AGCGAACGCUGGCGGCAGGCUUAACACAUGCAAGUCGAGCGGGCGUAGCAAUACGUUAGCGGCAGACGGGUGAGUAACGCGUGGGAACAUACCUUUUGGUUCGGAACAACACAGGGAAACUUGUGCUAAUACCGGAUAAGCCCUUACGGGGAAAGAUUUAUCGCCGAAAGAUUGGCCCGCGUCUGAUUAGCUAGUUGGUGAGGUAACGGCUCACCAAGGCGACGAUCAGUAGCUGGCUGAGAGGAUGAUCAGCCACAUUGGGACUGAGACACGGCCCAAACUCCUACGGGAGGCAGCAGUGGGGAAUAUUGGACAAUGGGCGCAAGCCUGAUCCAGCCAUGCCGCGUGAGUGAUGAAGGCCCUAGGGUUGUAAAGCUCUUUUGUGCGGGGAAGAUAAUGACGGUACCGCAAGAAUAA
rnacentral:rRNA from 1 species